GUGAAUCCCUAUCCACACUGACGUCAGCCUCACUUCCGAAGACUCGAAUCCACAAAACCCGUGAAAAUGUCAUGUUGGGAGCUCGAGAUUUGUCAAAUGUGCUCGAUAUUAUCACUUCAGCCCAACGGCAAUGGGAUUUAAACGAGAAAAAGGAAAAAGUGGCGGCUGUUCAUGCUACGAAUCUCUCGAAAGAUCAGUCUGGAGCCGCUGGUGGACAACAGCAACGUUCCGGUUAUUCUAGAUAUGCUCAGGAAGCUUUUGCUCAUGUAAGGGAGCCCCCUCCCCAAACUAUGUGAAAAUUUGAGAAAAAUUGGUGAAAAAUCGAUCUUUCUGCUAUUUUUCACGCAAAAAUUCGGAAAAUUUGAUCCAAAAAUUAUGAAAUUCGUGAAAACCGGCAAUUUUUUCCUAAAAAUUCAACAUUUUCACCAAAAACCCGCUAAAAAUGACGAAUUCGGAUACUGUAGCCCCGUUUCUGUGCAAACAACAACUACAGUAACCCAAAACACUGGAAUUCACGACAAAUUGCACAAAACUCAAAAACUGACGUAAAAAUGCGAUUUUUCACGCAAAAAUUCGAAAAUUUUGAUCCAAAUAAAUGAAAAAUUGAGAAAAGAUUCGAAUUUCAGUGAAAUUAUGUCCAAAAAUCUACUAAAAUUCAAUUUUUUCAGGAAAAAACCAAGGAAAUUCAAACGGAAGGCUCUUUUAUUGGAAGUAAUUUCAGCAGUAUCAAGCAGGGACAUCAUGCGGUACAAAGUUCGUAAAAUCCGAGAAAUUGCAAUUUUAAAUUCAAAAAAAUCAGAAAUUUUAUAAAAUUUGACCCUAAAUUCGAAAAACACCGAAAAAUUCCCACAUUUCGAAACAAAAUUGGAAAACUUCAUAAAUUGACUUAAAAUCCGGGUUUUUGUAAUAUUCUCACCAAUUUUGACUGAAAAAACUCGUAAAAAAUGCUUUUUUUUUUCAUUAAAGUUGAUCUGGAAAGCUGAAAAUUCGGAAAAUUUAUGAAAUUUUCACUAAAAACCUGUGAAAAACCAAUUUGUGCCGGAAAAUGUGAUUUUUAACACAAAAAUUCAGAAAUUUUGCUUCAAAAUGGAGAAUUUCAUGAAAAAUGACGAUUUUGGGUACUGUAGCUCUAUCUCUGUGCAAACACCGACUACAGUAACCCAAAACGUCGGAUUUGACGACAAAUUGCACAGAAUUCAUAAAAUUUGACCUAAAAUCUGGGUUUUUUUUCUGAAAUUUCUACUAAAAAAUGUAAAAAACGCCAAUUUUUCACAAAAUUUUCAAUUUUCCAGAAGCACCCGACGCUCCCCCAGGCCGUCCUCCACUCGCCAAGCCCAUCCAGCUUCUGACGUCAUCAACUGCCACGUCAUCAGGCUCAUCAGCAGCUCAAAAUGGCUCAAAACGGACGUCUCGCUCCCCGAUCAUCAUCGUUCCGUCGGCAAUGAAUACGAUGAUAAAUUUGUACAAUGUUCGAGAUAUUCUGCAGAAUUUCAGCUAUGUUCCUGUUGAUCAGCGACGAAAAGAGACGAAUAAGAAGCCUGUCGAUUUGGCUAUUCAACGGCAGAAAAAUGGUGUUACUU
rnacentral:sRNA from 1 species